CGUACACUCCUACGGGAGGCAGCAGUGGGGAAUUUUGGACAAUGGGCGAAAGCCUGAUCCAGCCAUGCCGCGUGCAGGAUGAAGGCCUUCGGGUUGUAAACUGCUUUUGUACGGAACGAAACGGCCUUUUCUAAUAAAGAGGGCUAAUGACGGUACCGUAAGAAUAAGCACCGGCUAACUACGUGCCAGCAGCCGCGGUAAUACGUAGGGUGCAAGCGUUAAUCGGAAUUACUGGGCGUAAAGCGUGCGCAGGCGGUUAUGUAAGACAGUUGUGAAAUCCCCGGGCUCAACCUGGGAACUGCAUCUGUGACUGCAUAGCUAGAGUACGGUAGAGGGGGAUGGAAUUCCGCGUGUAGCAGUGAAAUGCGUAGAUAUGCGGAGGAACACCGAUGGCGAAGGCAAUCCCCUGGACCUGUACUGACGCUCAUGCACGAAAGCGUGGGGAGCAAACAGGAUUAGAUACCCGGGUAGUCCCAU
rnacentral:rRNA from 1 species